rnacentral:rRNA from 2 species
UACGGAGGGUGCAAGCGUUAAUCGGAAUUACUGGGCGUAAAGCGCACGCAGGCGGCUUUUUAAGUCGGAUGUGAAAGCCCCGGGCUCAACCUGGGAAUUGCAUCUGAUACUGGGAAGCUAGAGUAUGUGAGAGGGGGGUAGAAUUCCAAGUGUAGCGGUGAAAUGCGUAGAGAUUUGGAGGAAUACCAGUGGCGAAGGCGGCCCCCUGGCACAAUACUGACGCUCAGGUGCGAAAGCGUGGGGAGCAAAC